UCGGAAGCUAAGCAGGGUCGGGCCUGGUUAGUACUUGGAUGGGGGACCGCCUGGGAAUACCAGGUGCUGUAAGCUU
rnacentral:rRNA from 1 species